CAUCGCAUCGCAUCGCAUCGGCAAUUCGGCAUCGCCGUCUAGCUCGCAGGGAGGAGAGAGGGGGAGCCUCUAACCCUAACCCUACCCGCCCCUGUCGCCAUCGCCAUGGCCGCCGGCGGAGAGCCCUCCCCCUCCCCCUCCGCCGUGUCCCCCGCAUCCCCCACCAAGCACUCUCGCUCGCCCGACGACACCCAGCCCGACGCAUCUCCGAAGCGCCGCAAGCGCCACCAUCACCACCGCCGCCACCACCACCACCGUCGGCACCGUCACGCCGAUUCCCCGGUACCCGUGGCAGCCGACGAAGAGGUAGAGGAGGGGGAGAUACUCGACGAUGCCGCCGCCGCCUCUGCCAUGGAGGUCGAUGCUGCGUCCGCCGCCCCACAGGCUUCCCUUGCUCCGAUGCAGGAGCACUUUGGUAAUGGUGCUGAUACAGACUCAAACACAGAUGCAACCGAGAUGCAAGCUCCUGCUCCGCCUACCUUUCCAUCCGCAAAAGAUGGAAGGAGGUCACUUGACGGUGCCCCUGAGUCUGAAAGCGGAGGUAUCCUUUCAAGUGAUGCUGAGAAUAACAAAGGGCAUGAACAAAAGCAAAGGCAAAGCCGUUCGAAAUCUCCAAAUCCCAGAAGGGAGAAGGAAAGGAGGCACACAGAUGAGCAUCACUCUUCAUCUUCAAAAGAUCAUUAUUCCAAAAAUCAUUCUAGAACAUCUCCUUACUCAAGGCAUCAAAGUGAAGCUCAUUCAAGAGAUCAGCACUUGAGAUCUAGAGAGAGAGGUGAUGACACUAAUGGUUCUCGUGCAAGUCUUAGGGAUGGUUCUAAUCGUGAGAGCCAUGAUCGGAAUGGGAAGUCUGGCAGACAUACGAUUAGGACCCAGGAGAGUGAAAGGGAGAGGAGCAGCAGCCGUGGUAUUCAUGAUAGACAUGGUGACAGGCACUGCGAUAGACGUGGCAGCCAGGAAAGGUACAGAGAUGAUAGGAUAGAUAGAGACAAAAUUGAUUCACUAGAAGCUACUCGUAGGCACAGAGAAAGAAGCAGGAGUUAUAGUAGAUCGGAUCUAAGGGAAAGUACGCGUCUUUGUGAUCAAAGCCGGGAGAGGGAAAGACAGAGUGGUAGUUUGAGGCAUAGGGAUCAUGACAGCAAGAGCGAUACAAGUAAAGAUCGGCAUAGAGAAUCUGGCAGGGUUAGCAGUGCACAUGAAAGGGAGAGAGGGAGAGAUGCUAGGGACAGGGAAUGGCACAGGGUCAAGGGAAGUGAAACUCAUAGAGCUAAGGAAGGGCGGGACAAAGUUAGCGAUGGUGAUAGGCACAGGGAUUCAACACGCUCAAAAUAUAGUGUUUCUGAUGGUUACAAAGAGAGGACAAGAUCUGGGGAGAAAGGUAGAGAUGUUGACCAUAAAAACCGAAAGUUUGAAGAAACGAAGGAAAAUUCUCUCAAGGAGGAAGAUGAAGAGGAGUACCAAGAGAAAAUAGAACAGCAGUUAGCAAUGCAGGAGGAAGACGACCCUGAAAAAAUCAAAGAGGAAGCAAGGAGGAGGAAAGAAGCUAUCAUGGCGAAGUACAGACAGCAGCAAUCGCAGAAGCAGGAUAUGGAAUCUAAACCAAGUAGCAAUGAUGAAGAAGUAAGAGCAAUGGAUGGAAAUGAAACUAUAUAUCAGAAAGAUGAUAACGAUAGCGGCUCUACGGGGAAUGACGAAGCUGAAAAUAAGCAUAAUUCUUCAGAGGUAUUUGAUGACAAAACAGACUUUACUGUGGGAAAGUCUCCUGCUCAUAAUGAUGCUUCAACUAGCGCGGGAGCAUUCACUGAUGAGAGGACAAUAGGUGUUUCAGGUCUUGGAGAGGGUUCUCCCAAGAGCGAGAGAUCAGCAGACAUGUUUUGUGAUGACAUUUUCGGAGAAUCACCUGCAGGAAUUAGAAAAUCAGGCAAGGAUGAUGGUUUGCAUAUUGAGAGAAAUGCUCUUCAUGACAACUGGGAUGAUGCAGAUGGGUACUACACUUACCGGUUCGGAGAAUUGCUGGAUGGCCGUUAUGAAAUCAUAGCAGCACAUGGGAAGGGUGUGUUCUCAACAGUUGUGCGGGCAAAAGAUCUUAAAGCGAGUAAAGAUGAUCCUGAAGAAGUUGCUAUCAAAAUUAUUCGCAACAAUGAGACAAUGUACAAGGCUGGUAAGCAAGAGGUUUCAAUAUUGGAAAAACUUGCAAGUGCGGACCGCGAGGACAAACGUCAUUGCGUGCGGUUUAUUUCUAGUUUCAUGUACCGGAACCAUCUUUGCUUAGUUUUUGAAUCUCUCAAUAUGAAUCUUCGUGAGGUUUUAAAGAAAUUUGGUCGUAAUAUUGGGCUUAAACUGACUGCGGUGAGGGCAUAUUCAAAGCAGCUUUUCAUCGCCCUGAAGCACCUGAAGAACUGCAAAGUUUUGCACUGUGAUAUAAAACCGGAUAAUAUGCUGGUGAAUGAGGCUAAGAAUGUGCUCAAGCUAUGUGAUUUUGGCAAUGCUAUGCUUGCUGGUAUGAAUGAAGUUACACCUUAUCUUGUCAGCCGUUUCUAUCGGGCACCUGAAAUCAUUCUUGGGUUAGCCUAUGACCACCCUUUAGACAUGUGGUCAGUUGGCUGCUGUCUAUAUGAGCUUUAUACCGGGAAAGUCUUAUUUCCUGGUGCAUCAAACAAUGCCAUGCUUCGGCUUCAUAUGGAACUGAAGGGUCCAUUCCCUAAGAAGAUGCUUCGAAAGGGUGCCUUUACAAUGCAACACUUCGAUCAAGAUCUCAAUUUUCAUGCUACCGAGGAGGAUCCUGUGACAAAAACGGCUGUGAGAAGGUUAAUUUUGAACAUUAAGCCAAAGGAUGUUGGUUCUUUGAUUUCAAACUCUCCUGGCGAGGAUCCAAAAAUGCUAUCCAGUUUUAAAGAUCUUCUUGAGAAAAUAUUUAUCUUAGAUCCAGAAAAGAGGAUAACCGUAUCACAAGCACUUAGCCAUCCAUUUAUCACUGGCAAGUGACAUAAGAUGCUGAUUCCUCUUGACAUUGAACUUAGCAUCUACACUGUAAAAUACAAUUUGGGUUCCUCUUGUCUAAUCAUCGACGUUUCUGUCUUGUGUCCUGUGAGCUCUGAGAACAAGUACAUGGAUGAAGCAUGGAACUAUGGAAGAGAUGGAUAUCUGCAGACCUUGUUGCAUGCACUUAUCAUUUGGAUAUAUUCUGUUGCUUGAUUCUGCCAGGGCCUCUGCUGUGUGCACAUUUUAUAUGCUUAAGGGCCAACAUAAGAAGGUCCUGGGAUGGAGAUCGCCGGACCCUCUACUCACUCUCCAUGGUAAAUUCUUUCGACCCUGGAUGUCUUCCAUUUUUUUUUUGUUAUUAUAGAGUUAUCACCUAAUAGUUAGUAAUGGGUUGGUACAUUAGCGCUGAUUUAGUUUUUCAAUGUUAGCAACCCUUUUCUGUUUAUUAGGUGUAUUUCUAAUAUUUUUUUUGCAUUUUGUUAAGUAAUUUCUUUUUGUCAGUUUCAUCAAACAUUGAUCUUCCAAACAAUUUGUUUGUCUUUUGUGUGUCCACCAAACUUUUCCAUAUUAAUGGGUUCUGAAAUUCAAGUACUAUAAUACUUUACUAUGGAAGAUGUCUUCUCUAUCAUGUAACGAAGUGUGUGAAACAUGAGAAACAUUUUUGUCUUAUGUAACAAUGUGGGAGCUGAUUAUUACAUUGACUGCUAGUUAUAGAACCGUGGGCUUAUUACUUUUAUGUUGUAUCUAGAUCUGCCACAUGUAGAUAUACGCUGGUUGGAUUAACCUUGUUAUCUGAAAGCCGAAAGUCUACUGUGUAAUUAGUUAUCAAGUUAGGAUUAUUUUUCCUGUCUCAAACACAUGCACGAGGGUACAGGGAAAAGAAAUCCCAACUUAGCCCCCCCCCCCCUUCCUCCUUCAGUCUCUAAGCACGCAGGACCUGGAAUGCUCUCAGCCUGUUAGCAGCGUGGAAUGCUCUCAUUUGUGAUUGCCUGCAGCACUGCCAUACCUUGCAACGGCGCUGUUAAAAACACAUCAUUCCAAUGUUUCUAGAUCUCUCAACCCACCAAGAUAGUGAAUUCAGGCCUUUCCUGCUAUUAUUUGGCACUUACUUGGCACACUAACUGAUUUGUUUAGCCCCUAGGAGCGCAGGCCCAUGCAUUUGGAUCAUUGUGCAAUUAGUAAUUAUAUGCUGAGAUACUGUUCAUUGGUGGUUAACUUGUGCCAAUAUAAUAAGUUGCCUUUAAUAAACUAUAAGAAACAGGGCUAGUGGGAUAAUACUUGGGGCUAUACACAACAUGCUUGAUUACAGUGUGUGUUGGUGUGAGAGAAAAGAGCUUGUGCUGUUUCGCUUGUAUGCUGGUUCAGACAUCCAGUGAUGGUAUGUUCUUGCAAUUUUUAAAUAUAAUGUGCUAUGCUAGUUACUGUCAGUACUAGGUAAAGACAUUUAGGAAAGAUCAUCAUACUAUAGGUGUUGGUGAUUACCAUGUCACUGGAUAAUUAAUCUGUCUAUAAUUUUAGUUCACCUGCUUUUUGCUGAAAUCUGUUGUGAAGCUGGCCGAUUCAUGUCCCAGCUGUAAUUUUGGUUGACUGUCUUGUAUUUUGUACUAUCUCAUCUGGAUAUUUUUUAUACUUACAAUCAACAUAAGUUUUGCUCCUAGCCAAGAGCAGAUGACUUCUCCAUGGGAAACAAAAUAGAACAAAAACAUAUUGGUGAUGUGUGUUGUUCUUGCAUAACUGCUAUAUCAGUUAUGUUAGAUGCAAAAAAUGCACCUGAGUUGUUACCAGUCUGAAUGAGGUGGCAUCGUCCUCUUUUUCUACCUUAAGUCUUUAGUCUUUUGUUCAAUGACCCGUGCUUGAUACAUAGAGUUGAUCGAGGAAAACAUUAGUAACAUCCUUGCUCACAUACUGCUGAAGCGUCGUGUCUGUCUCUUGUAUGACAUUUGUUUGCUCCCUUCAUUUUUUUUUUGAACACGGUUCAAAAGUGCACAAAGAAAAAAUGACCAAACAGAACACCUGAACAUGGUGCACUCAGAAAAGUGCACAAGCCGCACUAGAAACCUGCACCCACGAAGCACUUAUAUAUAACAAAAGCGCCAAUCAAUAGAAAAGGACAACCAAACAGGCCCAUGGCUAAGUUCCUGAGCUCCCUGACCCUGGAAGUGCCACAGUAAUUUCCUACUUCGAUAUUCCUUCUAUCUGUAUUAGUUGUUUCUUUAUGAGGGUUUCUAGUGGUCGGCAACGUAUCAUAUGCAACCCAGCUUCGUGUGCAACCUAUGCAACCACCAAUUAAGGUCACAAGAUUUAGAUCCAACGUCUGAGGUUUUUUUCACUUAAACCCCUCCACCUGUGGGUUUAAAUCUAACCCGUGUGUAUCCAGAUGGGAGGGUUUAAGUGAAAAAAAACUUCAGACGUUGGAUCUAGAUCCUGUGGCUUUAAUUGGUGGUUGCAUAGGUUGCACAUGAUACGUUCCCCUAGUGGCCUGCCUCUGGUAAUUAUAGGAAAGAUAUUGGAAUGCCUGUCUUGAAGUAGUCUGAACGAUUGAUUUCUCUAAUGGUAUAAAUACGGGCCACAGAAUGUCUAUGAUAUUUGGGAUCUGGUUGUUAUGACUACAUAGCAAACAUCUGCCUGACAUUUCUGACAUGUGUGGUUAACCUGCAAAGUUCGGCUUAGGGCUUGGAGAUUUUUGGUCGUUUUUUCAUGUUCUUGUUGUGGUGAUUAGGUAAAUCCAAAGUACAGUGUGUGUGAGCGUGUGUGAGUUGUGGGGUGUGUGUGUGGGUGUUGGGUCUCUUGGACCUGUGUACCUGUUUUCUACCUUAAUGAAAUGACGCGCAGUUCUCCUGCGCUGUUCGAGAAAAAAAAACCUGCAAAGUUCGGCAUCCAACCCAACUUGCCUAAUUGCCUUCUUUUCCAUAUUUCAUUGUGGGUUUUGCAACAUUAUGUUACAAAAUUGUGGGCAAGCACGAAUCUCAAGUCACUACCUUCUUUAUUGUUUAUUAGCCUCUCAGGCUGUAUAAAUAACACAUUCUGAAGUGCUUGUAGCCUAGUACACUUGCGGUUCUACAAAUAUUCUACCAUCAGUUAAUUGGGAGCACAAAAAUAUAUUGUUUGCUAGUGGUGCUGUAUUCUGCCUUGAUAUUUUGUGAACUAUGCAGUAAUGGAAAACCACAAGCCGAAGCAUGGUUAAAAAAAGUAUAACUAAGCAACAGUAAUUAAGCAAAACUGUUCAGCACUAACUAAAAACUCACAAACAUUUUCUCUCUUUUUAGUCAGUUGACCUCUGCUGCUCAUACAUUUUGUUGUAAUGUGCAUGAUAUAUUUUUUUCAGUCCAUGUGACAAUUUUGCCCUUUCAUGUCUGUUGAUAAACAGUUUGUCCAUUAGUGGCACGCAAGAUUUUAAUAUUUCAUGCCAAAAUUUGUGCUGCUAAUGUUUUGCCAGUGGAACUGGCAAUUUGUUUCUUGAUGCGUGCGCACUAUAAUACUAUAUUUGGUUCAAAUUAGAUGGUAGCUUUUUUUUUUCAUGUUCUACAACUUCUGAGCAAUUCUUGCUCAUUUCUCUGAUAUAUUUGCAUGAAUUCAUCUCCCAUGAAGGGAUUAAAUGAGGUUGAUAUGUAAAUUUUGUCGGCCUUAGUGUAGUGCAUUGGUGAGGCUAUUGAAUUUGCUCUUGUAUUUGUCGAUUGGCUGUAAGGUUGGUUUAGCAGAAAGCGUGUUCCAUUCGUGUAUGCAUUGUAUUUGUAUAUUGGAACAAAAUGUAAUGGUAUAGUCUAUCGUGUGUUUAGGGUGAAUACAUUUUAUGCUUGUAACGCAAGUGAGAUUUGUUUU